AGCGAACGCUAGCGGCAGGCCUAACACAUGCAAGUCGAACGAACUCUUCGGAGUUAGUGGCGGACGGGUGAGUAACACGUGGGAACGUGCCUUUAGGUUCGGAAUAACUCAGGGAAACUUGUGCUAAUACCGAAUGUGCCCUUCGGGGGAAAGAUUAUCGCCUUUAGAGCGGCCCGCGUCUGAUUAGCUAGUUGGGGAGGUAAAGGCUCACCAAGGCGACGAUCAGUAGCUGGUUUGAGAGGAUGAUCAGCCACAUUGGGACUGAGACACGGCCCAAACUCCUACGGGAGGCAGCAGUGGGGAAUCUUGCGCAAUGGGCGAAAGCCUGACGCAGCCAUGCCGCGUGAAUGAUGAAGGUCUUAGGAUUGUAAAAUUCUUUCACCGGGGACGAUAAUGACGGUACCCGGAGAAGAAGCCCCGGCUAACUUCGUGCCAGCCGCCGCGGUAA
rnacentral:rRNA from 1 species